rnacentral:rRNA from 1 species
GACGAACGCUGGCGGCGUGCCUAAUACAUGCAAGUAGAACGCUGAAGAGAGGAGCUUGCUCUUCUUGGAUGAGUUGCGAACGGGUGAGUAACGCGUAGGUAACCUGCCUGGUAGCGGGGGAUAACUAUUGGAAACGAUAGCUAAUACCGCAUAAAAUUGAUUAUUGCAUGAUAAUUAAUUGAAAGAUGCAACUGCAUCACUACCAGAUGGACCUGCGUUGUAUUAGCUAGUUGGUGAGGUAACGGCUCACCAAGGCGACGAUACAUAGCCGACCUGAGAGGGUGAUCGGCCACACUUGGACCGAGACACGGCCCAGACUCCUAAGGGAGGCAGCAGGAGGGAAUCUUUGGGAAUGGGGGGAACCCUGACCGAGCAACGCCGCGGGAGGGAAGAAGGGUGUCGGAUCGGAAAGAUCUGUUGUAAGGGAAGAACGGGUGUGGGAGUGGAAAGUUCACACUGUGACGGUAUCUUACCAGAAAGGGACGGCUAACUACGUG